rnacentral:rRNA from 1 species
GACGAAGGGGGCUAGCGUUGUUCGGAAUUACUGGGCGUAAAGCGCGUGUAGGCGGUUGUUCAAGUCGGGUGUGAAAGCCUUGAGCUCAACUCAAGAAAUGCACUCGGUACUGGAUGACUAGAGGACCGGAGAGGAUAGUGGAAUUCCCAGUGUAGUGGUGAAAUACGUAGAGAUUGGGAAGAACACCAGUGGCGAAGGCGGCUAUCUGGACGGUUUCUGACACUAAGACUCGAAAGCGUGGGGAGCAAACAGG